rnacentral:rRNA from 1 species
GACGAACGCUGGCGGCAGGCCUAACACAUGCAAGUCGAGCGGAGCGGCGGACGGGUGAGGAAUGCCUAGGAAUCUGCCUGGUAGUGGGGGAUAACGUCCGGAAACGGGCGCUAAUAUCGCAUACUAUCAGAUGAGCCUAGGUCGGAUUCGCUAGUGGGUGGGGUAAAGGCCUACCAAGGCGAGGAUCCGUAACGGGUCUGAGAGGAUGAUCAGUCACACGGGAACGGAGACACGGUCCAGACCCCUACGGGAGGAAGCAGUGGGGAAUAUUGGACAAUGGGCGAAAGCCUGAUCCAGCCAUGCGGCGUGUGUGAAGAAGGUCUUCGGAUUGUAAAGCACUUUAAGUUGGGAGGCGUUACCAACAGAAUAAGCACCGGCUAACUUCGUGCCAGCAGCCGCGGUAAUUC